rnacentral:rRNA from 1 species
UAAUAUAGUUAACCUGCCCUCAAGAAAGGAAUAACAGUUGGAAACGACUGCUAAUGCCCUAUAUGCCUUUAAUACAUAAGUAUGCAAGGGAAACGCUUUAGUGCUUGAGGAUGGGACUGUAUGGUAUCAGCUUGUUGGUGAGGUAAUGGCUCACCAAGGCUAUGACGCCUAACUGGUUUGAGAGGAUGAUCAGUCACACUGGAACUGAGACACGGUCCAG